rnacentral:rRNA from 1 species
CCUACGGGCGGCAGCAGUGAGGAAUAUUGGUCAAUGGGCGAGAGCCUGAACCAGCCAAGUCGCGUGAAGGAUGACGGCCCUACGGGUUGUAAACUUCUUUUGGCAGGGAGCAAUUGGGUCCACGCGUGGGCUUUGCGAUAGUAACUAAAGAAAAAGCAUCGGCUAACUCCGUGCCAGCAGCCGCGGUAAUCCGGAGGAUGCGAGCGUUAUCCGGAUUUAUUGGGUUUAAAGGGUGCGCAGGCGGUCGGUUAAGGCAGCGGGAAAAGCCCGGGGUUCAACCCGGGCUCGCCGUUGAAACUGGAAGUCUUGAGUGGGAGAGAAGAAUGCGGAAUGCGGGGUGUAGCGGUGAAAUGCAUAGAUAUCGCGCAGAACUCCGAUUGCGAAGGCAGCAUGCCGGCUCCAAACUGACGCUGAGGCGCGAAAGCGUGGGUAUCGAACAGGAUUAGAUACCCGGGUAGUC